GUGGGGAAUAUUGGACAAUGGGCGCAAGCCUGAUCCAGCAAUGCCGCGUGCAGGAAGAAGGCCUUCGGGUUGUAAACUGCUUUUGUACGGAACGAAACGGUCCUGGCUAAUAUCCGGGGCUAAUGACGGUACCGUAAGAAUAAGCACCGGCUAACUACGUGCCAGCAGCCGCGGUAAUACGUAGGGUGCGAGCGUUAAUCGGAAUUACUGGGCGUAAAGCGUGCGCAGGCGGUGCUGUAAGACAGGCGUGAAAUCCCCGGGCUCAACCUGGGAAUUGCGCUUGUGACUGCAGUGCUGGAGUGCGGCAGAGGGGGAUGGAAUUCCGCGUGUAGCAGUGAAAUGCGUAGAUAUGCGGAGGAACACCGAUGGCGAAGGCAAUCCCCUGGGCCUGCACUGACGCUCAUGCACGAAAGCGUGGGGAGCAAACAGGAUUAGAUACCCUAGUAGUCC
rnacentral:rRNA from 1 species